GAAGCUCACCUGGAUCCCAUGCUCAAGACAGUAAAGCUCCCAGCAGGAAUUUCCGACCUGGAUUCCGGCUUGACCGAUGUGGAUGGAGAUGCACUCUCUCAUUUUUGUGUGAGGAGGAGGAAGAAGGAAGUUUGUUUCGCAAAGACGUAUACGAAGACGUCUCGGCGAAAUAUAGAGCGUUU